rnacentral:rRNA from 1 species
GGGCCCGCACAAGCAGUGGAGUAUGUGGUUUAAUUCGAAGCAACGCGAAAAACCUUACCAGGUCUUGACAUCCCGUGCAUAGCAUAGAGAUAUGUGAAGUCUUUCGGGACACGGAGACAGGUGGUGCAUGGUUGUCGUCAGCUCGUGUCGUGAGAUGUUGGGUUAAGUCCCGCAACGAGCGCAACCCUUACUGACAGUUACUACGCAAGAGGACUCUGUCGGGACCGCCGUUGACAAAACGGAGGAAGGUGGGGAUGACGUCAAAUCAUCAUGCCCUUUAUGACCUGGGCUACACACGUACUACAAUGGCCGUUAACAAAGGGGACCGAACCCGCGAGGGGGAGGAAAUCGUUAAAAACGGUCUCAGUUCGGAUUGUAGGCUGCAACUCGCCUACAUGAAGUCGGAAUUGCUAGUAAUCGCGGAUCAGCAUGCCGCGGUGAAUACGUUCCCGGGCCUU